rnacentral:pre_miRNA from 1 species
UCACUAGAGGUCUGAUCCAAAGCCCAUGGAAGUCAAAGGGAAUCUUUCCAUUGACUGCAAUGGACUUUGGAUCAUGCCCUUGCUGA